rnacentral:lncRNA from 1 species
ACACGCCGUGAUAUAACUGGAAUACUGUUAAAAGCGGCGUUAAACCCAACUCACUCACUCACUCUUUUCCAGUGGGGCAGGAUACGCUCAUCUUUUCGCGAACAACUGGUAUCAUCAUUAUGUGAUAGUGAAUCUUAAAGAUAUUGCCCUGAAAUCGUUGAAAUCGUACAAUGAACUCUGCUUUGAGGAGGGGAAACGUAUGAUCCAUUCAUUUAGUUUCCUCCACUAGUUUACACUUUGGGCCCAAUGGAAUCUGUUAUUCUGGUUAUUCUCUGUUGUUGAUGUUUUAUAUUCCAUAUUAUGAAACAAAAAGCAUUCCUUCACUGCAGCAUCGUAGGAGCUGUUAUUUUGUUAGUGGUAUUGGUAAAAGAUGUGAAAACCGAACAUGUAAAUUGUGAAGCAAACACCUUUAAGUAACAUAUGUAAGCCGAGUAAGAGUCUAUCUUUUACUCUUACUGCGAAUUGCAUUGGUCUUGAAUUUAUAUACCCCACCCGUCCGUAUGGUUUAGAAUAGGUCCCAAGCACUAAAUUGCAAGCUAAUGGGCAAGCUUUGUACUGUGGCUCUUUUUGCGUGUCAUCGUGUUCCGAUGGCGUGGAUCAUAUUCAAGCAAUGUUUAUUUGCGUGUCAUCGUGUUCCGAUGGCGUGGAUCAUAUUCAAGCAAUGUUUAUUUGCGUGUCAUCGUGCUCCGGUGGCGUGGAUCAUAUUCAAGCAAUGUUUAGAGUAGAUGCUGCAGGGCUAUAGCAUUUGUUGCACGAGAAAUAUGGCUUGAUUCGUUGGUUGAAUUCGAGCAUGAUGGGGAACGUAGCUACACAAACUCAUGAAGUACUGACGAUGACCAAUAGAUGAUUUGGCCCUGGUUGAACAGUGGGUGAUGAACAAGAAUCCACUAUAAAUUAACACUCACACAGAUCACCCAUUGUAACCAUCCAGUCACCCUCUAUCGGGACUUAGUCAUUCGGUACUGGAGACUACACGCCAUAUACACGAGUGCUAAAAAUCAACAGUUUUCCUUGCUUUGAACUCCUUUAGUGACUUUCCAUUACUGCGUUCAUCCCUUACUGCAAAUGGUUCUAAUGCCUCCAACAGGUUCUGUCAUACAAUCUGUUUCAUGUGUGUACCAUGUUUCAUUUUAAGCCAGAAGGAAGUUUGUACACUUGAAGCAAAAGGUGCAUGUGCAACAUGACUACAAGGUUUACAAACUGCACGUCGUAUUGCAGGGGCAGGUUUUUUUCAAGAACAACUGGCAUCAUAACUAUUUGAUAGUUAUAAACACGUGCUUAUAAUAUAGCCGAAAUAAUACAGUGGACGUUUAGAAGCAAUAUCUAAUGUGUAAUUGAGUGAGUGAGUGAGUUAAAAUUUUACAUUGCAUCGGCAGUAUUGCAGCCAUAUCGCGAUGAGAACAAGGUAGUUUCUACAAUUAAAGACCUGUCGACAAAGGACAGUAAAACAGUAAGGUACAUAUCACAGUUUAGAUAUAAAACAAACCUAAGCAAUAAUAAAACCAAGAAUUUUUUUAGCAGAUUAUUUCCUAUAAAUUAAAACCAGGCUAUAGACCACUAGCAACCAAAGCUAGACCACCUAACUGGGAAUCAUGGGGACUUACAGUGCUUUAGCUUCCUGCAUGAUUCCCGGCAGGAGUUAUGCCAUCACUUUGGUCACGAGUUGUUGUGUGAAUUGCUAACCAAUUUUAAAAAAUAUACGCACAAUCAAUACAUUAAAACACUAGUUGAUAUUAAACACUUCAACAAAGAUGGAUUUACGUGCCACUGUCAGGGGGACAAUAAUUUUAAACUACUUUAACCCCCUGUGUGGCACAGCCUUCAAUAAUCUCAGUUGUUAAUAAUAUCACACUAAAUUAAAACAAUUCAAAAUCAAAAUUUAUCAAAUAAUUCGAUUUCUUUUAAAAAAUUGAGAAUUAAACGAGCAUUUAUAUUUGUAAAAAGAUCCUUUAACGAAGUUGAAUGAUAAUAGGUAUCCCUUGUGAGUGAAAAGUCUAUACAGUUAAGCAAUAUACUCUUAUGUGUAAGGAAAGGGUAUACAUUUAUUUUGAAAUUCGGCAUGUUUUUCGGGACCUGUCAGGCCCAUAUGCAAAUGUUCUAUAUGUAAAUAUGAUAUUGAUCAAGCCUGUAAUAUCUCUUACGUAUUAAGCAUUUUAUGCUAAAUAAGAUUUCUUAUUUGUAUUGUAUUAUCAACUCUUGUUUUCUUCUUAAUCUCUUAAUCUGUUUGUCGGUAUAAUAGAUUUUAAGAAUUACAGUGACCUUUGUAUUGCUUUGCCGCCGCUUAAUAAAGUUUCUUGUAUCUUGUA